rnacentral:tRNA from 1 species
GAGGGUACAGCUUAGUGGUAGAGUGCAUGCUUAGUGUGCCCAAAUUCCUGGGUUCAAUCCCCAGUACCUCCU